rnacentral:rRNA from 1 species
AAUAGAUACCCUGGUAGUCCUAGCUGUAAACGAUGACCACCAGGUGUGGGAGGUAUCGACCCCUUCCGUGCCGCCGUUAACGCAGUAAGUGGUCCGCCUGGGGAGUACGGUCGCAAGAUUAAAACUCAAAGGAAUUGACGGGGACCCGCACAAGCAGCGGAGCGUGUGGUUUAAUUCGAUGCGACGCGAAGCACCUUACCAGGGUUUGACAUGCCAGCAAAACCUCCUGAAAGGGAGGGUCCUUCGGGGUGCUGGCACAGGUGCUGCAUGGCUGUCGUCAGCUCGUGCCGUGAGGUGUUGGGUUAAGUCCCGCAACGAGCGCAACCCCAUGCUCGGUUACAGGUGUCCGAGCAGACUGCCACUCUCAAAGUGGAGGAAGGUGGGGAUGACGUCAAGUCAGCACGGCCCUGACAUCCUGGGCGACACACACGCUACAAUGGCCACCACAAUGGGACGCCAACCCGCAAGGGGGAGCCAAGCCCAACAAAGGUGGUCUCAGUUCGGAUGGUGGGCUGCAACUCGCCCG